rnacentral:rRNA from 1 species
GACGAACGCUGGCGGCGUGCCUAAUACAUGCAAGUCGAGCGGAUGACGGAGGAGCUUGCUCCUCCUGAUUCAGCGGCGGACGGGUGAGUAACACGUGGGCAACCUGCCCUGUAGAUUGGGAUAACUCCGGGAAACCGGGGCUAAUACCGAAUAAUCCUUCGGACCUCAUGGUCCGAUGUUGGAAGACGGUUUCGGCUGUCACUACAGGAUGGGCCCGCGGCGCAUUAGCUAGUUGGUGAGGUAACGGCUCACCAAGGCCACGAUUCGUAGCCGACCAGGGAGGGUGAUCGGCCACACUGGGACUGAGACACGGCCCAGACUCCUACGGGAGGCAGCAGUAGGGAAUCUUCCACAAUGGACGAAAGUCUGAUGGAGCAACGCCGCGUGAGUGGAGAAGGUUCUCGGAUCGUAAAACUCUGUUGUGAGGGAAGAACAAGUACCGGAGUAACUGCCGGUGCCUUGACGGUACCUCAUUAGAAAGCCACGGCUAACUACGUGCCAGCCGCCGCCGCCGUAA